AUGACUUAAUUUUUAGCUAUGAAGGGGAUCGAAGAAAUAAACUAUAAAGCUCUAGUAAUGAAAAAAAUUUAAUGACUUCAUGUAAUGUUAAUGUAUAAUUGUGGUGUUACCAUGAAGGUUCCUUAUUUCUUGAUAAUAGAAAAAGAAAUUCUUUUAUAGCACCAAAAAGAAAAAGCAUAUUAGAGUCAUGUAUACAUUAAAUAGGUUACUUCACAAAGAAUAUGAAUUCUCCCAACUAAAUUUUCUUCCAUCAAAGCCGUAAUAACAAACGCAUGAU
rnacentral:lncRNA from 1 species